rfam:Metarhizium acridum CQMa 102 unplaced genomic scaffold Scf_026, whole genome shotgun sequence.
UCCUCCGUGGCGCAAUUGGCUAGCGCGUCUGACUGUUAAUCAGGAGGUGAGUCUCUAACAUCGCACGAAAUGUCACACGUCAAUAUACUCAUUAAUUCGUAAAGGUUGAAAGUUCGAGCCUUUCCGGGGGAG